AUUGAACGCUGGCGGCAGGCCUAACACAUGCAAGUCGAGCGGAGCGGCAGACGGGUUCGUAAUACCUAGGAAUCUGCCUGGUAGUGGGGGAUAACGUCAGGUAACGGGAGCUAAUACCGCAUCCUAUCAGAUUAGACUAGGCCGGAUUAGCUGGUUGGUGGGGUAAAGGCCUAGCAAGGCGACGAUCCGUAACUGGUCUGAGAGGAUGAUCAGCCACACGGGAACUGAGACACGGUCCAGACUCCUACGGGAGGCAGCAGUGGGGAAUAUUGGACAAUGGGCGCAAGCCUGAUCCAGCCAUGCCGCGGGUGUGAAGAAGGUCUUCGGAUUGUAAAGCACUUUAAGUUGGGAGGCGUUACCCACAGAAUAAGCACCGGCUAACUUCGUGCCAGCCGCCGCGGUAAUAC
rnacentral:rRNA from 1 species